rnacentral:sRNA from 1 species
GGACAGGCUAGGGUCGCUCCCGAAAAGCCGUGACCCUGACGGCCUGCCUGUUCGGUUAUACGGCAAGGG